AUGAACGCUAGCGGCAGGCCUAAUACAUGCAAGUCGAACGAGAUUAAGGGGCUUGCUCCUUAUGAAAGUGGCGCACGGGUGCGUAACGCGUAUGCAACCUACCUUAAUCAGGGGGAUAGCCCGAAGAAAUUCGGAUUAACACCGCAUAAAAACACAGCACAGCAUUGUGCAAUGUUCAAAUAUUUAUAGGAUUAAGAUGGGCAUGCGUGUCAUUAGCUAGUUGGCGGGGUAACGGCCCACCAAGGCGACGAUGACUAGGGGAUCUGAGAGGAUGACCCCCCACACUGGUACUGAGACACGGACCAGACUCCUACGGGAGGCAGCAGUAAGGAAUAUUGGUCAAUGGAGGGAACUCUGAACCAGCCAUGCCGCGUGCAGGAAGACGGCCCUCUGGGUUGUAAACUGCUUUUAUUCGGGAAUAAACCACAUUACGUGUAGUGUGCUGAAUGUACCGAAGGAAUAAGGAUCGGCUAACUCCGU
rnacentral:rRNA from 1 species